rnacentral:rRNA from 1 species
GACGAACGCUGGCGGCGUGCUUAACACAUGCAAGUCGAGCGGUAAGGCACCUUCGGGUGUACACGAGCGGCGAACGGGUGAGUAACACGUGAGUAAUCUGCCCUUCACUUCGGGAUAACCGCCGGAAACGGUGGCUAAUACCGGAUACGACGCACUCUUGCAUGAGAUGUGCGUGGAAAGUCUUCUCGGUGAAGGAUGUGCUCGCGGCCUAUCAGCUUGUUGGGAGGUAAUGGCUCACCAAGGCUUCGACGGGUAGCCGGCCUGAGAGGGUGACCGGCCACACUGGGACUGAGACACGGCCCAGACUCCUACGGGAGGCAGCAGUGGGGAAUAUUGGACAAUGGGCGAAAGCCUGAUCCAGCAACGCCGCGUGAGGGAUGACGGCCU